GAAGUUGAUCGCGGGAGCUCCGCCAAGGGGCUGAGAGGGCGGCUGGGGCCGCCGACCGCAGGAACCUGUCCGGGUAAUGCCGGCGUAGGGAGUCUUACAUGGUGUCGC
rnacentral:ncRNA from 2 species